UGCCCAUGUACAAGAGCGGGGACCUGGU
rnacentral:piRNA from 1 species